rnacentral:rRNA from 1 species
CAGCAGUCGCCGCGGGAAUACGUAGGUCCCGAGCGUUGUCCGGAUUUAUUGGGCGUAAAGCGAGCGCAGGCGGUUAGAUAAGUCUGAAGUUAAAGGCUGUGGCUUAACCGUAGUACGCUUUGGAAACUGUUUAACUUGAGUGCAAGAGGGGAGAGUGGAAUUCCAUGUGUAGCGGUGAAAUGCGUAGAUAUAUGGAGGAACACCGGUGGCGAAAGCGGCUCUCUGGCCUGUAACUGACGCUGAGGAGCGAAAGCGUGGGGAGCGAACAGGAUUAGAGACCCCUGUAGUCCCUGUCUCUUAUACA